rnacentral:lncRNA from 1 species
AUUGACAUCCUGCUGGAUACUAUCAGGGAUGAAAUCACAGGAUGCAUUGAGAAGGCCUAUGAGAAAAUCCUUUCUGCUGAGGCUACCCAGAUCCUCUUCUUCAGCACACCCAAAAAGAAGACAGACUAUGACAAGAAGCAAGGUUGUGUGCUGGGCCCUAACAACUACUACAGCUUUGCCAGCCAGUAGCAAAAGCCAGAAGACAGCACCAUCCCCUCUACUGAAUUGGCCAAACAGGUCAUCGAGUAUGCUUGGCAGCUGGAGAUGAUU